rnacentral:rRNA from 1 species
CUCCUGGAAACGGGUGGUAAUGCCGGAUGCUCCGACUCCUCGCAUGGGGUGUCGGGAAAGAUUUCAUCGGUAUGGGAUGGGGUCGCGUCCUAUCAGGUAGUCGGCGGGGUAACGGCCCACCGAGCCUACGACGGGUAGCCGGCCUGAGAGGGCGACCGGCCACAUUGGGACUGAGAUACGGCCCAGACUCCUACGGGAGGCAGCAGUGGGGAAUAUUGCACAAUGGGCGCAAGCCUGAUGCAGCGACGCCGCGUGCGGGAUGACGGCCUUCGGGUUGUAAACCGCUUUUGAUCGGGAGCAAGCCUUCGGGUGAGUGUACCUUUCGAAUAAGCACCGGCUAACUACGUGCCAGCAGCCGCGGUAAUACGUAGGGUGCAAGCGUUAUCCGGAAUUAUUGGGCGUAAAGGGCUCGUAGGCGGUUCGUCGCGUCCGGUGUGAAAGUCCAUCGCUUAACGGUGGAUCCGCGCCGGGUACGGGCGGGCUGGAGUGCGGUAGGGGAGACUGGAAUUCCCGGUGUAACGGUGGAAUGUGUAGAUAUCGGGAAGAACACC